GGGGUUGUGGCUCAGUGGUGGAGUGCUAGCCUAGCACACAAGAGGCACUGGGUUUGAUCCUCAGUACCCCA
rnacentral:tRNA from 1 species